rnacentral:misc_RNA from 1 species
AACAGAAAAUCUUUCCUUCUCAGGCUUCACCUUCACUCUAUGCUCCACGCUCUCAUAAGCAUCGUUGCUUCAUACCUGCACAGACAAAGACAUUUGCCAAGCCAUAUCCAGUGCUAGAAAACUUGGUAAAUUUUUGUUCAUUAAAAAUUCCACUCGAUCAGUAGAUCCUGAGCUUCAGUUUCAAGCAUGAACAAUAAAACUCGAUCUAUUUCAAGUUGAGUUUUGAACCUUGAGUCUUCUAAUUGAGUUGAGUUCGAAUAAUUAUUUGUAUUGGUUGGAGUUGACGUGUUUUUGGUGAAUAUUAGGAGGAGAAAUAUGUGUGUAAGACAUGAUAAAAGCCAUAUCUAAGCAUAGUGUAAGAAUGUCAUUUUAUGAACUUGAAGAAGGCAUUCCUUUGCUUAUAAAAAAGAAGAGUGCUGGAGAGUGUGCAGCAGGAAAAGAGUGAAAGCUGAAAAGAGAGUUUGAGGGAGCCAAGAAAAUGAGAAAAAAAAAAAAAUCUUUGUAUU